rnacentral:rRNA from 1 species
UACGUAGGGUGCGAGCGUUAAUCGGAAUUACUGGGCGUAAAGCGCGUGUAGGCGGCCAGAUAGGUCUGCUGUGAAAACUCGAGGCUCAACCUCGAGCUGUCGGCGGAAACCAUCUGGCUAGAGUCCGGAAGAGGAGAGUGGAAUUCCUGGUGUAGCGGUGAAAUGCGCAGAUAUCAGGAGGAACACCAAUUGCGAAGGCAGCUCGCUGGGACGUUACUGAGCUGAGACGCGAAAGCGUGGGGAG